rnacentral:lncRNA from 1 species
AUUCAUAGAUCUCAAAUCAAGGUAUUCUAGAUAGAGAAGAAGGUAGAUGGAGACAGACCUUGCAGAUCUGUCCUGCUGCAGCCUUUCCUGUAGAUCUGUUGAUGGAGAUCUCACCCGCAUCUCAAACGACCUCAGAUCAACUCCAAAUCUGAGAGGGACUUGUAUCAACCUCUUCUUAGGAGAUUCCAAGUCCUGGACCUGAUGCUUGGGUGGCUGCA